CCUCCGGCCACCCUGUAGAGACCCUGCGUGGAUGGAGCCUUCCGAUUCGCUGCUGUCACACACUGAAGACGUUCAGCGUGGUUCGCCAUGGGACCACUCAACUAGAAGGGAGGAACUGCUGGAGUUGAGCGGCUGCACAGGUCAAGAAUUUUGAAGAAGUUACUCUAAGAACAAAAGCAAGCUGGCAGGAUGUAUGGUGGGGUCUGUUCUCUGAAGGUCUUGCAGCUGCAAGGUUUACUUGUGGUGAGAUUCUAAGACUCAAAACUCACGGCACCUCUAUUGUUCAGAAGUGGCCUCGGUUGCGGCGGCGGCGGCAUU